AGCGAAGCUUUUUGGUAGUUUACUACUAGAAAUGACUGAGCGGCGAACGGGUGAGUAACGCGUGAGCAAUCUACCUUAGUUACUGGGAUAGCCCGAGGAAACUCGGAUUAAUACCGGAUAUUCUUAUUUUUUCACAUGAAGUUUUAAGGAAAGGUCAGCCGAACUAAGAUGAGCUCGCGUUCUAUCAGCUAGUUGGUGGGGUAAAAGCCUACCAAGGCUACGACGGAUAGCUGGUCUGAGAGGACGAUCAGCCACACUGGGACUGAGACACGGCCCAGACUCCUACGGGAGGCUGCAGCAGGGAAUAUUGUGCAAUGAGCGAAAGCUUGACACAGCGACACCGCGUGUGGGAUGACGGUUCUAGGAUUGUAAACCACUUUCAGGAGGGAAGAAAAUGACGGUACCUCCACAAGAAGACCCGGCCAACUAUGUGCCAGCAGCCGCGGUAAUACAUAGGGGUCAAGCGUUGUCCGGAUUUAUUGGGCGUAAAGAGCUCGUAGGCGGUUCAACAAGUCGGUCGUAAAAGUUUAGGGCUCAACCCUAAAAUGUCGAUCGAUACUGUUGUGACUAGGAUACGGUAGAGGUGAAUGGAAUUCCGAGUGUAGCGGUGAAAUGCGUAGAUAUUCGGAGGAACACCAAUUGCGAAGGCAGUUCACUGGACCGUGAUCGACGCUGAGGAGCGAAAGCAUGGGUAGCGAAGAGGAUUAGAU
rnacentral:rRNA from 1 species